GUGGGGAAUCUUAGACAAUGGGCGCAAGCCUGAUCUAGCCAUGCCGCGUGAGCGAUGAAGGCCUUAGGGUUGUAAAGCUCUUUCAGGGGGGAAGAUAAUGACGGUACCCCCAGAAGAAGCCCCGGCUAACUUCGUGCCAGCAGCCGCGGUAAUACGAAGGGGGCUAGCGUUGUUCGGAUUUACUGGGCGUAAAGCGCACGUAGGCGGAUCGUUAAGUCGGGGGUGAAAUCCUGGAGCUCAACUCCAGAACUGCCUUCGAUACUGGCGAUCUUGAGUCCGGAAGAGGUGAGUGGAACUCCUAGUGUAGAGGUGGAAUUCGUAGAUAUUAGGAAGAACACCAGUGGCGAAGGCGGCUCACUGGUCCGGUACUGACGCUGAGGUGCGAAAGCGUGGGGAGCAAACAGGAUUAGAAACCCGAGUAGUCC
rnacentral:rRNA from 1 species